rnacentral:rRNA from 1 species
GACGAACGCUGGCGGCGUGCUUAACACAUGCAAGUCGAACGGUAAGGCCCUUCGGGGUACACGAGUGGCGAACGGGUGAGUAACACGUGGGUGAUCUGCCCUGCACUUCGGGAUAAGCCUGGGAAACUGGGUCUAAUACCGGAUAGGACUCCUGGCUUCAUGGUUGGGGGUGGAAAGCUUUUGCGGUGUGGGAUGGGCCCGCGGCCUAUCAGCUUGUUGGUGGGGUAAUGGCCUACCAAGGCGACGAAGGGUAGCCGGCCUGAGAGGGUGACCGGUCACACUGGGACUGAGAUACGGCCCAGACUCCGACGGGAGGCAGCAGUGGGGAAUAUUGCACAAUGGGCGCAAGCCUGAUGCAGCGACGCCGCGUGAGGGAUGACGGCCUUCGGGUUGUAAACCUCUUUCAGCUAUGACGAAGCGCAAGUGACGGUAGUAGCAGAAGAAGGACCGGCCAACUACGUGCCAGCCGCCGCAGUAA